rnacentral:rRNA from 1 species
GAUGAACGCUGGCGGCGUGCUUAACACAUGCAAGUCGAACGAGAAUCAGUGGAACAAGGAUUCGUCUAAGGGAAGCUGAGGAAAGUGGCGGACGGGUGAGUAACGCGUGAGCAAUCUGCCUUGGAGUGGGGAAUAACGGUUGGAAACAGCCGCUAAUACCGCAUGAUGUAUCUGUGUCGCAUGGCACUGGAUACCAAAGAUUUAUCGCUCUGAGAUGAGCUCGCGUCUGAUUAGCUGGUUGGCGGGGUAACGGCCCACCAAGGCGACGAUCAGUAGCCGGACUGAGAGGUUGGCCGGCCACAUUGGGACUGAGACACGGCCCAG